UUGGCUGCUGAAAGGGCCUCCGGGCGGGGAGCGGGGCGUCGGAGGGGCGUGUGGAGCCGCCCGGCUGCUGGUCCUGACAGCCGCGAGAGAGGCCCCUGUGACCCCCGCCCCGUCGCGGAAUGGGCUCUACGUAAGAGUUGAAACGAGAAGUGCCGUUGGGCGCCGGAAGUAAUGUGGUUGCUCUUUCAGCCUCCGCUUCUUUUCCGAUCCGUUCUCUUUCCACUAUUCCUUAAUAUGGAGGCAGGGUUCAGGGUGGAAGAAGUAGUGCGUGAUCACAUCCACCUUCUACAUUUAAAGCACACGACUCCUUCCCCAAAAAUUCCUGGAAACUGUAGUUCGUUAAGGGUGCUGGGAAUGGUAGCUCUGCAAUUCUGUAAAUAACAGUUCCCAGGAUUCUUUGGGGAGAAGCCAUGUGCUUAAGAUGUGCUUUAAUUGUAUGGUGUGGAUUAAAAUAGAGCACACUGCACGCCUGAGAUACUUAACGAAUCAUCAGUAGGAUGGCAGCCACAGCCUCCACUGUUCAGAACAUAAAAGGCUUCACUUUAUUACAGUAUUUUAAGACCAAAGGUCCCUCUGGCUCAGGUCUUUUCCUCCCAAAUGAAGCAGCUCUUUGAAAUCCAAGAGCAACCUAGUGUAUUCUGCAACACUGCAAGGCAUUAUGCUUUGAAGCAGCUCAGAAUGACAAAAUGGACUGGGCUGGCUGGCCCUAAUCAAAUUUGCCAUAGGGACAGCUUUCUAAAAUGGAGGGCUGGAACCACAAACUUUAUCUUGCAUCCAUGACAAAAAGGCAGGAAGGAAUUGUGGCCAAGUCAGUGAAAUCAUUUCAGAAAGCAGUGUGAGUUUUGAGCUCAGGAGCGGCUGUGUGACAGAGUACUAACAAGUUCCAAAAUUGCAGUCCUGUAAGCAUGUAAACAAAUGCUUAGGAGUUGAAUAAUCCAGUGACAGGAGGACUGAAGUGUAAAAUGCACACCGUUUUUAUAGUUGCAUGCUUAGGUUCACUUUGAGGGAGAUGAAACUGGAUCAUGGUGGGUUAUACAAAGGCAGCCACUUAAUCCACUUCAGCUCUUCACCCACCCAAUUUGUCAUCUGGUAUAUUAUUGGACCGCUGCCAUGGAGACACCAGCAACCCUCAAAGGCCUCUUCUUCCAAAAUAGCUAAUAAGACUGAACUGGGGAGGGGGAGUGAACAUGACGAACGUCAUUAGAUUGGAGAGAGGGAGUGAAAAGGAGGCAGAGCCCUGGAAGUCAGCAGAGGAAAAGCUGAGCAACAAAGCCAAAGGGGAGGGAGUCUGUGCUUUACUCAGGAAUAUCCCAUCUAUCAAAGCUUGGUCUGUGCAAGUACAAACAUGCACCCGCAGCUCCACAAUACCCUUGAUUUUUUUAAAAUGUUGGAUGUAGUAACCCAAUAUGAGCAACUAGUACCAGGCAGCAAAUAGGCUGAUAUUGUAAUUCAUAGGAAGUAGCAAAUGUAGCUGGAUUUGGAUAACCAUGAAAUAAUCUAGUAGCACAAUUCAGGGUUGAAUAUCCUUUAAAAUUUAAAAACCUAAACACUGUGUUACUAAACUUUAGGUUAAUGUUAGUCAGGAAAUACUGGAAACACUGGUUCAGAUCCAGAAACCUUUGUGGCUUACCCAAAGGCUUAAGGUGGAGUAAGCAACAAGCAAUUCACAUUUUAAAUGAAUGGACUGGAGUGUUCAGUUUAAGGUAGCAAUGCUGUGCAGACUUGUUUGGGAGCAAGAGCUUUUUGUUCUCCAGACUUUUAAAGUUUUGAGCCCUAGGCUGCAAUUCUAUACCUGAAAGGCCCAUUGAACUCAGCGAGGCGUCUGAGUUUACAUGCACAUGAUCACACUGUUAAGCAAUUUAACCUGCUGCUUUUAAUUGUUGGUUCCCUCCUUUUUGACUGGAAAUAUUCUGAGUUUCGUGUUGAUUUUAUUGUUAUGUAUGCCUGAACAACUCUGAAGAACCAACUGCCUAAAUGCAGAAUAUAAAUAAGUUAUGUUGAGCUUAGUGUAAUUUAUUUGUAAGUGUGCCAUGCAUAGGAUCCAGCUGGAUUACAUACAACUCUAUUAAUUUUAGGCAACUUGUUAUUGGGGGGGAGGCACUGUGAGGACUGGGUAUGUGAGAUCAGCAUAUCAAGUGUCCUGUGUAGUGAUGCCUUUAGGUAUUGCUUAUUCUCUGUUUACAUGCAAGAAUGUUUUAGCAAAUGGAGGAACAUCUGGAGUACCAACAGGAUUUUCUGAACCCAGAACUGUAUCUUGAUUGGGCCCUCCACACAACCAGCAUAGGGGAAUAAUAAUACUGGCCUACCUUGCAGGGCUCUUGGGAUUACAAAAAUACUACGCAUGAAACAAUCUGAACAUUUGAGAUGUGCUAUAUAGAUUAGUCAAAUCUUUCGCCAGUAACUGUUCAAACUAGAUUCUGAAUUGCUUUGUGACAUAAUUAUAUGUCCCUGGUGCUGGUAGUCAUGGCAUUGAACCUAAAUCCCCAAACAAUCCAAUAUAUAAAUACCUCAUGCUGGGAGCAUUAGUCACCAAACUGGUUAUCCUUUCAAGAAAACCGAUAAUUAAUGCAAUCCCUUUUAUUUAAUGGAGAGACCCUUUAUCACCACACAUUUGCUCCUGUGUUGAUUGUUGUUGAAAUGUUUAGGAUAAUCAGACAUGAUAAUAGAAGAUGGAUUGAUUGUUUGCGAUUCAGCAAAAAUUCAGGUUUGGGCAGUUCAGCAAAAAUCUGAAGAAGAACUGGUUUUUAAAGUGUUGUGCUCAACCUAUUAUUUAUCUGUAUUAAUAGCUUUUUCUGACUUGUAGUUUUGUGGUUCUAUUGGAACAUGCUGCUUUGAGUUCAAUGCUAUGACUCCAUUUCCCACACACUUAUUUUGCAGAUUCAUUAUUCACCAUGGAAAUACAUGGUGUGUGCAAGCACAUGCACUCACACACAAAAAUUCAGAAUCCUGUUACACUAUAAACAUUCUCUUUCCCACCCCACCCCCUCUGCAAAACAUGCUUUCAAUUAAAAAAUAUCAUUAGGGGCCUGUGAAUUGGAAGUAGGGAAGGUCACAAAGGCAGACUGCUACAAACAGCAAUUUUCACUUAUGCCGGUUAAGGGUUGCUAAAACUCCCUGAGAAAUUGAAGGCGCAAGCAGUUGUUAUGAGAAUCACAUUCUUUGUCACUGGAAUUGCUUGGCCAAUUUUUCGAUGGGAUUCAAUUGGGGUUGCCUGCAGAAUGUCACUGUUUUGCAAGAGGGAUUUAAUUGUGUACUGGAAAUUUAGGUUUGUGCAACUAAAUCACUCUGGAUUAAAGCACUCUGUACAACAAAUCCACUUUUAAAAAGGAGAGUUAUUGGGAAAUGCACUAAAAAUAAUGACAGAUUGACAGGUAGACCUAUAACCUCUGUGAAAACUCAUCAGGCUGAAAUUAGGGUGAAUGCACAUUGUUGCACUCUCCCCAGAAACAGAUUAGAAUGAAGAUAAAGAGCAGGCAUAAUAUAACAUCUGUGUCAACUUUAUGCAAGCAAAUCAGGAUAAGUGGUUGAUAAACAAGUUAUCCUCCAAACUAAAUAGUGUAUUAAGUAUCACUAUUGCUAUAUAAGUGAGGAACAUGAAAAUUCCAGUACUGUACCUUAUUCGACCACUUGUUUUCCCCCAUGUCAGUCCUGCUACCUCUGGAACAACAUAAAAAAGCUUGUUUUGAACAUGCUUUUAUCUCCAUCUUCAUUUGGCCUGGAAAAGCUCAGCCUUAGCUUGCCAAAAGAUGCUUCAUGUUCAUAUGAGAGUUACUGAAAGUGAUUUUAGGCUCUAUAUCAAGUGUAAGAAUUAGUUAUAUCAGACUGCUGAUAUUUUGCUUUGCUGCAACCUACUAUUUCUUUCUCACUUUGACUCCUUAAUAAAUACUAAGUGCUUUGCAAACUUAGGAUCAUCUCACCAGAGUGUUUUAACUAGCUUGGGUCCAGACCAGAGAUUUGUGAAAAGGUACUGGGAAUUACUUGAUUGAUUCUGGCUCCAGAGGACAGGCAGAUUUGAAGGAUGUUCCUUCCCUGCUCUCAAGAAACCCCAUAGCUCAGAAGUGCCUUCUGCUUCAGAGCUAAAGAGAUAAUGCAGGUGGUUGUGAUGAUUAAAGGGUCACUCUUCUCUUGGUGGCAUUUCCCUUUUUGUUACACAUCACAAAACUCCAGAGUUCUCGUCUAUAGAAAACUACACCUGGUAGUGCUGUCCUGCUAGGGCCCUUGGCUGCUUCGGCUAUGUAGCAGGCUAAAUUGACUCACUUCUGGUGGCAUGGGCAGGAGGAGGAUAGGUGACAGCAGGAAUCAGUACCUGAAUUAUGCAGGAAGAUUUUGUCAAGCAUUAGCCCUAGCGAGGUUGGGGUGCCUUUAGGCUUUGCUUCAGGUAGCGCGGCAUCUUGGAUCAGCACUGCUGGGCUUAGAGGAUUUGCUGCAUUUUCAAAAAUGCAAAACAGAUUGCACUAUGCCUUGAAGACUUGAGACAUCAGAGUGAAAGCUGGCAGGCCUACUGAGGACAAAAUGCAAAGGAUGGUUCCCCAGCACAUGCACAUACACACAUUUUCAAGGACCAGGAACAAACUAGGGUCCUCAAACACUCUGCUUUAUUGCUUCUAUCAGGUGUUGCAAGAAUUUAUUGUACAUCCUAGCAUUGUUAACCACAGCAGAAACAGAGCUGUGCUUUGUUGUGUUAGAAAAGCAAACCCCUUUCAGAGUCGCUCAAAUUUCUUGUUUCCAUGACAGUCAGAAAUGUAGUUGGUUUUACGGCUUCAUGUUUCCUGCAGAAGACCUACCUAACAAGCCCUUUUGCAAUGUACAACUUUGAUUUAUUUUUUCUUCCAUCUGUCCUUCCUGGAUAACAGGUGACACAUCAUAUACUAAGAUACGUUGACAUGAAUGACAGCUGAAUGGUUGGAAUGCUGAUGGUGCCUGGCAGCUGAACUAAAGAUUGGCAGGGAUGUUAAGAAGAUUGGUCUUUGAAAUUCCAGUUUGAUCUCAAAAGCGCAUGGCCUCUGAAUUGUUUGGAAACUUCUCUGCAAAGUGCUUUUCAGGUCGAAUUCAACAAUUCAGGUCAAAUUCAACAUGUGCCACAGAUGAUGUACCACCAUCUAGUCUCGGUGUUUCAUGAGAUCAGAGGCGCCGCCUUCACCAGAGGAUUGAGGGGGCCUGUGCACAACGUCCUGAUGCACUGACGUCGUGGGGGGGUGUGUGCCUCUGAACAUUGAGGGGGCCCGGCUCCUUUAAAAAAAAAAAAAUCGGGAUCCCACAGUGCUUCAGCCCCUAGGAGCCGGCGCCACUGCAUGGAAUACAAUGGUAAAUUCCAGAACUAAAGAAAGAUGGAAGCCAUUUCAUUGUACUGCUUGCUUCAUUUAUGGAAAAAGAAAUGUUAUUACUCAAGUUAGUCUAGAUUUACACUACCUGGAAAUCCUUCCUUCUGAGAUUAGGGAGUUUCUGUACUUACACCGGAGAGAGAAAAAUGAACUAUGCACUUGGCCAGGAUACUUCCAUGUAUUCUUGCUUCAAAUAUUCCUCUCUCUAAACUGAAGUACACAGAAGUGAAGUACCUGGAUUGCUCAUUUGGUUAGAGUGUGGUGCUGAUAACACCACAGUGGCAGGUUUGAUCCCUGUAUGGGGCAGCUGCAUAUUCCUGCAUUGCAGGGGGUUGGACUAGAUUAUCCUCAGGGUCCCUUCCAACUCUAUGACUCGAAAAUCUAAGUAAUCGUAAUCUCCUAAGGCUCAACUCUGCCCCCAUCUUCCUCCCUUUCUGCUGAUUCUUGUGUCUAUUUUUAGAUGAUGCCUCCUUGAGGUAGCAAACUGUAAAAAAAAAAUAAUUCUUUGACUAUAUGGUGCUAUGUUAAAUCUAUACAGGUUGUAUCCAAUGAUGGCUUUGCCUGGAAAGUGCUUCUGCUCAUCUAAGUUGCCUGUGAAAGACAUCUGACACUGAAACAGACUUCUUGGCUGUAGACCCAACCUGCCCCUUAGUCACAGAUCCUUACAAACCAGUUCAGAUGACAGAGUGAUAAGAGGAAAGCACUCACUGAAAAGGUACAGAGUAAGGCGGCCAAGUAAAAGAGAGGAUAGGGCUCCUGCACUUUUCAUAGAUGUUCAGAAGACCGGAUUUCAGCAGGUGUGGCUUGCAGGACAAGCCGGAUCUGUUGUGAUUCUUCUACACAACCAUUCAUGCUUCAGGUCCCCCCGUUUCCUUCUCUUUUGAAACACCCCAAAUCAGCUGCUUAAAACAGCUGAUCCAUAACAUACAGUGUUAGGUGUUACUGCUUUUAACCCUGUAAGCUGCUUUAUUUUGCAUUAAAAGUGGUAUAUCUGUGUACUGUUUGGUGUUUUUUGAAAUAUUAAGUAAUAUAUAAGUCUGAGUAUGUAUGUGUGUAUGAACUUUUAAAUAAAAUAAAUAGCAUGGCACAACAGUGAGGCUUUUAAAUAUAUAUAUAUAUAUAUAUAUAUAUAUAUAUAUAUGGGUUUUACAGUUUGGACAGAAAUAAACACCAGUAAUCUUUCAACCCUAGUUCAGCAUCAUUUGUGUAAAAUGGCCUUAAUCUUUUUCUCAAGGGGUCCCUCUCCUGGCUGCUGCUUUGCCUGCAGUACCCAGUAGCUUAAUUAGAAACAAGGGCUGAACAUACUGAAGCAUAAAAAUAAAUAUCUGUAUUAGAAAACAGUUUAGCUGCUGGAGAAACACGAGAAAGGAACAAGCAGAGUUUUACAGUAAAAUGAUAACAGAUGCUAGAAAAGUUCAGCAUAUGGGAGGCUACAUAAUACUGAAAAGUAUGAAACGUUAUGGCUAAAAUAAUAAACCAAGUAUUUGCAGAGAACAUGGGUAACACUAUUCUCCAAAAGGCUGUGUUAUCUUUCAGGGGUACAAGCUUAUCAACUAAUAGUUUAUUUAUCAGUGGAGUUUAAAGAUAAGAGUACUGAGGCUAUUUUGAUUACA